rnacentral:lncRNA from 10 species
UGGCUCACAUCACAGUUCAAUGCACGUUGGAAGUAGUGGGAGGAGAGAAGAGCUCUGUGCACCUAAUGGUUCUGCUGAAUCCUCCGGCAGAUGAAGGAAGAAUGAGAGCACGAAGAAUGGAAAGGAAAGUUUUAUGGGCCAGGGCUGGAGGUCUUGUUGCUGAGACUACUGAUCUCCAAAGUGGAAUGUGCUCACUCUAGAGGUAUACAAGAUAAUUCACUGAAGUGUGGUAAGAAUUUUCAUAGCUUCUACUUAGGUUUAUCAUGAGAAAAUUAAGCCCUAUUCAUCCAUAUGGAUUGAGGUUGGCAUCCCCACAUUGUUUCUAUAUUUGACGCUCACAUCAGAUGAGAUACAAAUGGAGUUUCUUUCUUUGAGCAUUAGUGACAUAUUGUGGUUCAAAAGGGGAUUUAUGGAUUUUUAAAAUCUAACUUUAACAAAAUGAAAUAUUACAAAGUGAAUAAUUGGUUUUAAAAAAUUGCUGGGAAAAAGAAAACCCUGUGAAUUGAAGAUGAUACAUAGGAUCCCCCACUCUCAAAUGGCAGAACUGACACUUUUACUUAGUAUGAUCCCUUCAUCAGUCACAUUAUGAAGUUAAAUACAAUGAUUAACAAAAUCUGACCAGCUGACUCAAAACAUCCAAAACUAUUAAAAAAUCUAUUUGAAAUACAGUAUUAAUUUGUAUCCACUUAAUAACAAGAUACAGAAACCUAAGUAUAUAUUUUCCCUGAGAUAAAAGUUUAUUCAUUUUCAUUGUAUUCCUUCAAACUUUUUGUUUACAUUUCAUAAUGUAUAUUUUAUAUUAGCCCAAUAGUGGAUGUGUAUAACUUAUAAAGUAAUAUACAUAUAUUGGGGGUAUAUGCUCAAAUUAAGUGUACUUAAUUUGAGAUUAUUGAUUUAGACAAACAACUCUACCUUUCUCCAGUUGAGAGUUCUAGCCUGUGAACAUAGCAGUGAUUAGUACCUAAUGAUCAUGCAGUUAAGAAUUGGUUGCUAUUAUUACUAUUAGGUUUGGUUCUAAAGCCCAAAAAGGUACAGAUGAUUCGGAUGCAGACAUAUCAUUUAUAUAGAACCCCCACCAUUUUGCCUCAAGUAAACAACAUAAUCUGUCUCUCUGGAGACAGUUUCUUUGUUUGCAGCUAUAAAAUUUGCUGCAGUUGUAAUGCUGGAUCUAAGAGGCUGUCAUAUUGACUUGAGGAAUUCCAGAAAGGCCUCCCUGUAACCCUUUUCUUCUAGUGUGACUUAGGGAAACCCAGAAAGAACUCCCUUAACUCCUCCACCAGCAAAGGCUUCCUUCCUCAUUCUCACCUGAAGCCCCAUUAUUAGCAUUUAUUCCUGUGAAGGGGACUACCUUCACUUCAUGCCCAGAGUUCACCUAUUCCAUUCUGUUCUCCCAAGCACCUAGUGUAAAACUCAACGACAGCACUUUGACUGUAGGUACAGUCCUUCCUCCAUAACUGUGGGGAGUUGGUUCCAGGACUCUCCUCUUUUUUUUUUUUUUUUUGAGACAGUCUCUGGCUCUGUUGCCCAGGCUGGAGUAGAGUGGUGCUAUCAUAGCUGACUGUAACCUCAAACUCUUUCCCCUUGAAAUCUGCAGAUGUUCAAGUCCCUUAUAUAAAAUGGCAUAACAGCCUGGGCACCACAGUGAGA